GGUUAAGUGACUAAGCGUACACGGUGGAUGCCUGGGCAGUCAGAGGCGAUGAAGGACGUGCUAACCUGCGAUAAGCCAAGAGAAGAUGGUAAGAAUCACGAUACUCUUGGAUUUCCGAAUGGGGAAACCCAGCUGCAUAAGCAGUUAUCGUAACGUGAAUACAUAGCGUUGCGAGGCGAACCGGGGGAACUGAAACAUCUAAGUACCCCGAGGAAGAGA
rnacentral:rRNA from 1 species